GCAGUUUCAUGUGUGCAACAGCACAUACUUUUUCUCAGUUUGUAAACCUGUCACGCAGAUGCCCUACCCCUUGGUCUCGCCAUCAUGGACACUGUCACCAGCUAGCUUGCUGUUGAACCGUUCUUUCAACGAUAAGGGUCACUUUCAUGGACUGGAUGGCAGCCAACAUGCUGUCAAUAAAAAGAAUAAUGGAAGGAGCUCAA